rnacentral:rRNA from 1 species
UUAAAGUAGUAAGGGCGCAGGGUGGAUGCCUUGGCACUAAGAGCCGAUGAAAGACGUGAUAAGCUGCGAAAAGCUUCGGGGAGGAGCACAUAUCCAAUGAUCCGGAGAUAUCUGAAUGGGGAAACCCGGCAGAGGAAACCUCUGUCAGCGUGCAGUGAAUACAUAGCUGUACGUGGGGAACCCGGGGAACUGAAACAUCUAAGUACCCGGAGGAAGAGAAAGAAAAUUUAUCGAUUUCCAAAGUAGCGGCGAGCGAAAUGGAAAGAGGCCAAACCGGAGUGCGUGCACUCCGGGGUUCGGACCGCAUUUAAGAUCUGAUGAUCCUAGCAGAAAGGUUUUGGGAAAGCCUGCCGGAGAGGGUGAAAGCCCCGUAAGCGAAAGGAAAACUGACUGAGCGGGAUCCAGAGUACAUCGAGACACGAGAAACCUUGAUGGAAUGAGCGGGGACCACCCCGUAAGCCUAAAUACUACUUAGUGACCGAUAGCGCAUAGUACUGUGAAGGAAAGGUGAAAAGGACCCCGGGAGGGGAGUGAAAGAGAACCUGAAACCCUGUGUCUACAAGCUGUGGGACCUCUUUAUAUGAGGGACUGCGUACUUUUUGUAGAACGGUCCGGCGAGUUGUGCGUACUGGCGAGGUUAAGGACUUAAGGUCUGGAGCCGAAGUGAAAGCAAGCGUUAAUAGCGCGUCAAGUCAGUGAGUGCAGACCCGAAACCGGGUGACCUAUCCAUGUCCAGGUUGAAGCUUCCGUAAGAGGAAGUGGAGGACCGAACCCACAUCCGUUGAAAAGGGUGGGGAUGAGGUGUGGAUAGCGGAGAAAUUCCAAUCGAACCCGGAGAUAGCUGGUUCUCCUCGAAAUAGCUUUAGGGCUAGCCUCAUGAGAGUCUUAUGGAGGUAGAGCACUGAAUUGCCUAGGGGGCGUCAAAGCUUACCAAAGCAUAUCAAACUCCGAAUGCCAUCAAGAUGAUUCAUGGGAGUCAGACCAUACGAGAUAAGUUGGAUGGUCAAAAGGGAAAGAGCCCAGACCUACAGCUAAGGUCCCAAAGUACGUGUUAAGUGGAAAAGGAUGUGGGGAUUCUAAGACAACUAGGACGUUGGCUUAGAAGCAGCCAUUCAUUGAAAGAGUGCGUAAUAGCUCACUAGUCGAGAGUCCCUGCGCCGAAAAUGUCCGGGGCUGAAACACGACACCGAAGCUUAGGAAUGUGUAAACAUUGGUAGAGGAGCAUUGCUGGCGGGAUGAAGCCAUACCGUAAGGAGUGGUGGACUGCUAGGAAGAGAGAAUGCCGGAAUGAGUAGCGAGAUGAAGGUGAGAAUCCUUCAGGCCGAAUAUCUAAGGUUUCCAGAGUAAAGCUGAUCUGCUCUGGGUAAGUCGGGACCUAAGGCGAGGUCGAAAGACGUAGUCGAUGGAUAACAGGUUGAAAUUCCUGUACCGCAUAUAAACAGAACUGUGGGGACACAGACAGGGAAUGGAAUCCGGGAAUGGAUAUCCCGGUGCAAGCGAGGUAGGAGUGCUGUUGGCAAAUCCGCAGCACGAUCUGAAGACGUGACGCGUACCGAACAUAAGUAGGGAAGUCCAGGCCCCUGGCUGUCAAGAAAAGCCGCUAUUGUUUUAUAUGUGCCCGUACCGCAAACCGACACAGGUGGAUGAGGAGAGAAUCCUAAGGCCGACGGGAGAAGUAUUGUUAAGGAACUCGGCAAAAUGACUCCGUAACUUCGGGAGAAGGAGUGCCAUGAGAGUGGCCGCAGAGAAAUGGCCCAAGCAACUGUUUAGCAAAAACACAGGUCUAUGCAAAACCGCAAGGUGAAGUAUAUGGGCUGACGCCUGCCCGGUGCUGGAAGGUUAAGGGGAGAGGUUAGCGCAAGCGAAGCUUUGAACUUAAGCCCCAGUAAACGGCGGCCGUAACUAUAACGGUCCUAAGGUAGCGAAAUUCCUUGUCGGGUAAGUUCCGACCCGCACGAAAGGCGUAAUGAUUUGGGCACUGUCUCAACGAUACACCCGGUGAAAUUGAAAUACCAGUGAAGAUGCUGGUUACCUGCGCCAGGACGGAAAGACCCCAUGGAGCUUUACUCCAGUUUGAUACUGGGAUUCGGCAUGGUAUGUACAGGAUAGGUGGGAGACUGAGAAGGUAUGACGUCAGUUGUACCGGAGUCGCUGUUGGGAUACCACCCUUACCAUGUUGGAUUUCUAACCUGUGGCCGUAAGCCGGUCAGGGGACAAUGUCAGGCGGGGAGUUUGACUGGGGCGGUCGCCUCCGAAAGGGUAUCGGAGGCGCUCAAAGGU